rnacentral:rRNA from 1 species
GAUGAACGCUGGCGGCGUGCUUAACACAUGCAAGUCGAACGAAGCACUUUUUUAAGCUUGCUUUUAAAAGUGACUGAGUGGCGGACGGGUGAGUAACGCGUGGGUAACCUACCUCACACAGGGGGAUAACAGUUAGAAAUGACUGCUAAUACCGCAUAAAAUGGCAGUUUCGCAUGAAACAACCAUCAAAGAUUAUCGGUGUGAGAUGGACCCGCGUCUGAUUAGCUAGUUGGUAAGGUAACGGCUUACCAAGGCGACAAUCAGUAGCCGACCUGAGAGGGUGACCGGCCACAUUGGGACUGAGACACGGCCCAAACUCCUACGGUGGGCAGCAGUGGGGAAUAUUGGACAAUGGGCGCAAGCCUGAUCCAGCGACGCCGCGUGAGCGAUGAAGUAUUUCGGUAUGUAAAGCUCUAUCAGCAGGGAAGAUAAUGACGGUACCUGACUAAGAAGCACCGGCUAAAUACGUGCCAGCAGCCGCCGUAAUAC